AUUGAACGCUGGCGGCAUGCCUUACACAUGCAAGUCGAACGGCAGCGGGGGAGAAGCUUGCUUUUCCUGCCGGCGAGUGGCGAACGGGUGAGUAAUACAUCGGAACGUGCCCUGUAGUGGGGGAUAACUAGUCGAAAGAUUAGCUAAUACCGCAUACGACCUGAGGGUGAAAGUGGGGGACCGCAAGGCCUCAUGCUAUAGGAGCGGCCGAUGUCUGAUUAGCUAGGUGGUGGGGUAAAGGCCUACCAAGGCGGCGAUCAGUAGCUGGUCUGGGAGGACGAUCAGCAACACGGGGACUGAGACACGGCCCAGACUCCUACGGGAGGCAGCAGUGGGGAAUUUUGGACAAUGGGCGAAAGCCUGGUCCAGCAAUGCCGCGUGUGUGAAGAAGGCCUUCGGGUUGUAAAGCACUUUUGUCCGGAAAGAAAUGGCUCUGGUUAAUACCUGGGGUCGAUGACGGUACCGGAAGAAUAAGGACCGGCUAACUACGUGCCAGCAGCCGCCGUAA
rnacentral:rRNA from 1 species